GACGAACGCUGGCGGCGUGCCUAAUACAUGCAAGUUGAGCGCUGAAGGUUGGUACUUGUACCGACUGGAUGAGCAGCGCACGGGUGAGUAACGCGUGGGGAAUCUGCCUUUGAGCGGGGGACAACAUUUGGAAACGAAUGCUAAUACCGCAUAAAAACUUUAAACACAAGUUUUAAGUUUGAAAGAUGCAAUUGCAUCACUCAAAGAUGAUCCCGCGUUGUAUUAGCUAGUUGGUGAGGUAAAGGCUCACCAAGGCGAUGAUACAUAGCCGACCUGAGAGGGUGAUCGGCCACAUUGGGACGGGGACACGGCCCAAACUCCUACGGGAGGCAGCAGUAGGGAAUCUUCGGCAAUGGACGAAAGUCUGACCGAGCAACGCCGCGGGAGUGAAGAAGGUUUUCGGAUCGUAAAACUCUGUUGGUAGAGAAGAACGUUGGUGAGAGUGGAAAGCUCAUCAAGUGACGGUAACUACCCAGAAAGGGACGGCUAACUACGUG
rnacentral:rRNA from 1 species